rnacentral:misc_RNA from 1 species
GAUGAAGAACGUAGCGAAAUGCGAUAAGUAAUGUGAAUUGCAGAAUUCAGUGAAUCAUCGAAUCUUUGAACGCACAUUGCGCCCGCCAGUAUUCUGGCGGGCAUGCCUGUUCGAGCGUCAUUUCAACCCUCAAGCCCAGCUUGGUGUUGGGGAUCGGCACAGGCGCCCUCGGGCGCCCGCCGUCCCCUAAGUCUAGUGGCGGUCCCGCUGCAGCCUCCUCUGCGUAGUAGUUUUCUCCUCGCAAGGGCAGCUCGGUGGCGACCUCGCCGUAAAACCCCCAACUUCUGAAAGGUUGACCUCGAAUCAGGUAGGAAUACCCGCUGAACUUAAGCAUAUCAAUAAGCGGAGGA